UCACAUCAUAACGUGUGACAUAUAUCCUAAGGUCUAGCAUGACAACAAAUUCUCUAGCCAUCCCGCCACUUGAGACAUACCGAAACCCACCCCACCAUGUGACAUUAAACAUACAUGUAAGAAAGCUAGGGGUGGGCUUGGGACUUAUGAGAGGUCAUGCGAGAGAUAGAAUGCUUGGGCUAUCAAUCCACUUUCUCCUCCCUCGUGCAUCGCUUCUCGAUGGUUCCACGCCCAUGUUGCACACCUCACGUGACCGAGCCUGGCAUUUGGUAUAUACCAAACUUCGGUUAUUAAGUUUUGUUGUUUCUAUAUUUCCGUUUUAAUUCCGUUGGUUAAGUAAAAUGGAAAUAACUAGCAAGAGUGAAAAACCCAUCACAUCGGUGAAGAUCGCCCCCAAUCCACUCACAUGAGAUCGCUUUGAAAAAAUGAAAUUUGUUACUUCACAUCAUUGAAGAUCCACACCCUUCCACUCACACGAGAUCACAUCAUCUACCCGAGAUUUGUGUGACCCUUUUCCUCACACAAGAUCAUGUCAUAACGUGUGACAUAUAUCCUAAUGUGUAGCAUGACAAUAAAUUCUCUAGCCGCCCUGCCACUUGAGACGUGCCGAAACCCACACCACCAUUUGACAUGAAACAUGCAUGUAAGAAAACGAGGCAUGGGUUUUGGGCCUUAUGAGAGGUCAUGUAAGAGCCACAAAUCUUGGGUUGUCAAUCCCCUUUAUCCUCCCUUGUGGAUCGCUGCUUGACGAUCCCAUGACCAUGUUGGGUACCUCACAUGGCUAACCCUGCCAUUUGCUACAUAAACUUCGGUUAGUAAGUUUUGGUGUUUCUAUAUUUCAUUUUUUAUUCGGUUUUCGACUUAUACUGAAAGAGUAUCCCGUGUGCGGUUCACCAAGGAUAUGGAUGCCUUCCACCCGAGGCAUACCACCCUAUUAAAUAGUCAAGCUCCUGCCUCCAUUUUUUGCAGCCUGGUGAUGUGGUACUAAAAACCAAAUGGACAAGCCCCAUGGGAGAGACUCAUUGGUGUGGGUAAGAAAAAUAGGUGAUGUAGAUUAUUGGGCAUUGCCUAUUUGCCUACAGUAUUGAGGUGGAUGCCCACAUGAGUGAUUGGGUCUUCCCUGACUUGCACACACGACCACAUGGCACUCACCUUAACCUUAGGGGAGCGACUCUGUGUCGACUAUUGUGAGACGAAACAAGGUGCCGCCUAGAGUGCUGACGAAAUUGGCUAGAACACCAUGCUGGGCGACCAUCGGCCUUAAGUGUUGAUUUUUUAUCUUAUUUUUUCUUUCUUUUAUAUUUAUUUUAACAGUUUUCCAUUAUAUUUCACAGUUUAUGCUUAUAUACAUCCACCCCUGUAACUUCUCAACUACCGACGCACUACAAUCACUAGGAAAAUGCUUGUGCAUUUCUACAUGCAAUAUGAAUCCAUUAAUCACAAUUUAGCAAAUGCGUACACCAAUAAGUGGAGCAUUGUUUGAUAUCAUAGCUGAAUGUCCAUUAUUCGAUAUCAUAGGUCAACAUCCGUGAAUUGCGACCAAAUAUAUAUUACUAUGAUGACCAAAGGCAUGAGCAACACAAAAAUCAAGCACAACAAAAUAUUUCCCAACAACUGCCAAAGAAAAAGAUUGCAAAUAACAACUUAAAGAAACCAAUAUCGCAAAACUAACAAGCCUUUGAACAAACAAGAUUUAACAUGACACUAAUUGGGUAUGCUUAAUUUGCACGAUACAAUGGUUCACGGGGAAACAAGUUUGUGCUGAGUGAUACAAGUUUGGUCUAUUCAACAAAACACAUCAAAUUUCCUGACUUAGGCAUUGAUAUCAAAAGUAUUCCGAGUCUUUAUCUAGAUAGAUCCAAACAAAUAUACAAGGAUGAGAACUUCCAAAUAAUCUUAUAGAUUGUGAAUCUAGCAACAUGAGUAUCAAUUCUACACUUUCCACAUAGGCAAUACAAUUUUAACUAGUGGGUUAUGCUUGUUUCCCGAAACAAGAUCAAGCGGGAGGUUGGUGUUAAUUCACCUAGGUGUAGAACCUUCUUUCGCUGAACACCAAUCCAAAGGACCAUGCUUGUUGCUUCGAAGAUCACUUGUAGAGCUUGUGCGUCUCGGGACAAUGAGGGAUUAGAGGAGUAGGCGACACUAUCUUUCCUAGAGGCGGGCCUACUACUGGUCGGGUGAGACUCUGCUGUGCAUCACAAUUCUUGAUCUUGUUUGUAAUUGAAGAGAGGUCCCAAGGCAGGAUGGCACUCACACGAGGGCUUGAUAAGUUGCAUUAGAGUGUGCUUUGAGGAUCACUUGAAGACUCAGAGCGGCACUGAUUAUAGAGAGCAUGGGGAAUGCUUAGUUUCUUGAAGGCUAUGCUUUGUUUUGUGCUAGAGGAUUUAGAUGUGGUCAGAUGGAGUUGGGCCAUGAAAUUAUAUUGAGAAAUUGAAGGGCAAAAGUUAAGAGAAACUUAGAGUUGUUGUUUAUGGAUGGCGAUAGGCCCAAGUUGCAUGUUUGUUGGUUUUGGGUGAUGAGAAUUGGAGAUUGGGAGGAAAGAGGAUAUGCUACGUUAGAAAAAAACAUUAAAGAAUUCGAGUUUGGCUACAUCAGUGCGAACUAUUAUGUUCAGCCUUUAGAAUCAGUUGUGUGCCCAACACUUCUUCCGAAACUGGUUUUGAUUCCAUUUUUGUUGUAUGUGUGCAGUUUUCAGAAUGGAGACUCACGCACCGCUUAUGACCGAUCAAUUAGACUCUACAUAUUAUGGCUUUUCCUUGUCUAGCCACCUUCAUGACCAAAGAUCUAAAUGAUUUAUUGCUUUUGCCAUGUCUAAGGUAAAUGCUUUUUUUCGAGCCUACGUUAGUUUCAAAAUGCGCAAGUUUAAUUAGCCGAAAAUGUAAGUUUGAUUUUUUUCAAAAAGAAAGUGUAGAGUGGAUUUUGGACGUUUUUACAAAGUGUGAAAUACACUUUUUUAGAAAACAUUUGUACUUAUAUGAAAAAAUAACCUUUUACUGCUUACUAUUGAAAUGUGUGUGCAAGGGUUAUUGAUUAUUUAGAGCCCGCUGUGGUAUCCAUUGCCUAUCCAACACUCUAUGCAAACAUCAAAACACUAUUACCGUAACACCAAGUAAGAAAUCAAUGCCUUGUGAACGUAUAUAUACACAUUUAUUUGAUAAGAAAUGUUAUCCUCAACCACGAGGGGAAGCACCUCGUGUAACGAUCUCCAACCAAAACUACAUACUUAGGUGAAUAAACAUUGUGACGCAUUAGCACAGUUAGCUUGUAUUGCAAGUACAAUAUGAUAUCAUACUUCACAUGCACAAGUGUGGUGUACUUGGAUAAAGCAUAAGUGACCAUUGUAAUUACGUGUGAGAAUAUAUAACAAGAUUUUUAGUUUUGGGUAACGAAGGGAAAGUAAUGCAAUGAACCUCGCAUAUGUAUUCCUCCUCUGGAAUACAUUCAUCCAUCCUCUCGUCCUCCGAUAUGUAUAGAGUAGGCCACAAUAGGUUAAUGGGGGAAAGUUGUUUGUAAUUAGGUAUUGUGUAGAAAAUAUUCAAGAUAAUCAUUGGCCUAAGACUAUACCAAAAAUCUGCAAAUGAAGAGCAAAAGGAAGAUAUUUAGUUUAAUUGUGAUGCAAGAAGCCGCUUAACUACACUAUUUAGGUGGGCCAACACGUGUAGGCGGACCAGGUGGUAUAUAUUGUUGGUGUUGGAUUUCCGUUUUAGGCUCACUGGAACUUCAUGGGGUGUUUGUUUUUAUGGGCGUGCGCCAUGGAUAGCUAGCGAGUAAAUGUUUGCUUUGUAGAUGUGUCCUUAGUUUCUUCCCAUAUUUCAUGUUGGAUAUGAUUUGUUCUCCUAAAUUGGCUAAGAAAUAUUGGAAAUAACUGAAAAAGAUAAAAACAUCAUGUCAUCGAAGAUCCACCCCCUCCGCUCGCACGAUAUUGCUUUGGAAAUGGAAAUAAUCCCUUCAUGUCAUGGAAGAUCUACAUCCUUCCACUCACGCGAUAUCGCAUCAUCUUACCUGGGUCAGUCUUCCCCCUUUCCUCACAAAAAAUCACGUUGUAUUGCAUGAGAUAUAUCCUGAAGUCCACUUAUUGUAGAACGAAAAUAAAUUCUCUAGCGACCCCGCCAUUUGAGACGUACCGGAAGCCUCCCCACCAUCCGAAAUUAAUGACACAUGUAAGCAAAGUGAGGGGUGGGUGUUGGGACUUACGAGAAUCCAUGCGAGAGCCGCAAUGCUUGGGGUGUUGAGCUCAUUUAUUCUCCACGUGGAUCGCUUCUUAAUGGUAUCACGCUCGAGUUGGUCACCUCCCAUGGCUAAGCCUCGCAUCUGGUGUAAACUAAAAUUAAGUUAGUAAAUUUUGGUGUUUCUAUAUUUGUUGUUCGAUUCUGAUUUCAGUUUAUUCCUAAAGGGUAGACUGCAUUAGGCUAACUAAGGAUAUGGAUACCUUCAACGCUUGGCACCCCGCAAUAUUAAAUAGAAAAGGUCCCUACCUCAUUUUGUGUAGCCACAUGAUGUGGGAGAAAUCACGAAAGAGACAAGCCCCGUGGGAGAGACUAAUUGGACUGGUUGAGAAGAAGAAGUUUUGUAGAAUAUUAGGCCUUGCGUAGUUGCAUACAAUGUUGAGGUGAAGAUCCAUAUUGUGCGGAUGUUUCCUUGUCAAACGGGCCAAAUAUCCCCUAAAUGGGUGAUCGGACGAUGAAAUCAAUCUUAGGACACUACCGAUUUGGCUAACGGCUUAUCAAAUCCCUAAUAUUUUGAAGUUGGGUUUGAGUUAGAGGAACGAGAGUCGAUGUGUUUGUGGUUCUAGAGGAUUGCCAAAGAUGCCCUAUGAGACUUUAUGACUUGUUCUCACACGUUGCUCGUAUUAAAACUACAAUAGGAAAUCAUACUUCACAUGCACAAAUGUGUGGUGUACCUAGAUAAAGCAAUAGAGACAAUUGUAGUUACAUGUGAGAACAUAUUAAAAAUAAUUUCAGUUUUGUGCAAUCAAGGGAAAGUAAAGUAAUGUCCUUCUCAUAUUUAUGCUCGCACUGAUCACAUUCAUCCAUCCACUCGUCCUUAUAGCUGUAUAGAGUAGGCCACAAUAGGGCCAUGGGAGAGUGUUGUUUGUAAUUAGGCGGUAACUGUGUACAAGACAUACAAGACAAUCAUUGUCCUAGAGCCUAUACCAUCCAUAUGCAAAUAAAGUGCAAAAGGAAGAAAUUUUGUUUAACUCUAAAGCAAGAAGCCGCUUAACUACACUAUUUAGGCAGGCCAACAUGUGUGGGAGGACUAGGUGGUAUUUUUGCGGUGAAUUUCCAUUUUAAGCUCAUUGGAACUCGAUGGGGAUGUUUGCUUUUUAGGUGUGGCCCAUGGACAGCUAGCCAACAAAUGGUAGCAUUGUAGAUGUGCCCUUUGUUUUUUCCCGUAUUUCAGGAUAGAUAUGCAUUUUUUUUCUUAAAUUGGUUAAGAAAACAUGGAAUUAACUAGCAACAAUGAGAAACACAUCACAUCAUUGAUGAUCACCCCCACCCCCCGCCCCCCGCCUCCACUCGCUUGAGGUCGCUUUGGAAAAAUGCAAAUUACGACUUCAUGUCAUGGAAGAUCCACACCCUUCCACUCACACGAGAUCACAUCAGCUAACCCAAGAUCCGUCUUACCCAUUUCCUCACAGAAAAUCACAUCAUAAUGUGUGACAUAUAUCCUAAGGUCUAGCAUGAAAACAAAUUCUCUAGCCACCCCGCCACUUGAGACAUACCGAAACCCACCCCACCAUGUGACAUUAAACAUACAUGUAAGAAAGAGAGGGGUGGGCUUGGGAGUUAUGAGAGGUCAUGCAAGAGAUAGAAUGCUUGGGCUAUCAAUCCACUUUAUCCUCCCUCGUGAAUCGCUGCUCGAUGGUCCCACGCCCAUGUUGGACACCUCACAUGGCCGAGCCUGGCAUUUGCUAUAUACCAAACUUCGGUUAGUAAGUUUUGUUCUUUCUAUAUUUCCUUUUUGAUUCAGUUGGUUAAGAAAAAUGGAAAUAACUAGCAACAGUGAAAAACCCAUCACAUCACUGAACAUCACCCCCACUACACUCACAUGAGAUCGCUUUGAAAAAAUGAAAAUUAUCACUUCACAUCAUUGAAGAUCCACACCCUUCCACUCACAUGAGAUCACAUCAUUUAACCCGAGAUCUGUCUUCCCCUUUUCCUCACACAAGAUCAUGUCGUAACGUGUGACAUAUAUCCUAAUGUCUAGCAUGACAAUAAAUUCUCU
rnacentral:lncRNA from 1 species